CAAAUUAGAGCUUGAAAAAAGUUUUUCAUUUACAUUGAAAGGAUAUUAUUAAAAUAAUUAAUUUGA
rnacentral:tRNA from 1 species